AAAAGACUUAAAUAUGGAUGAAACAAUUAUAACCUUUUCAAUAUAGAUAAAAAUAAUAGAGAAAACUUCAAAAACCCUCAUGUGAUUUCGUAGUUUCUCACUUUGGCCCCCUGUGGUUAAAAAUGUAUUAAAUUGCCCCUAUGUGGUUUCGUUUUUAUCUUUUUGGUAGCUUUUUCGCUAAUAUUUUAUUAAAUUAUAUACAAAAAACUUUAGAUACUCAUAUAGAUUUAUCAAAUAUUCACUUUAGUACCCUUUAAUUUUAAUUUUAUCACUGAUUUAAGAAAAAAAAAAUAAAAUUGAUAAGAAAAAGAGAAAAAAGAAAUCACAGCGGAACAAAUUGAUAUAUUUUAAACCACAGGGGGUAAAGUGAGAAACUACGAAACCAUAUAGAGGGUUUUUGAAGUUUUCCCAAAAUAAUAUGUAACAAC
rnacentral:lncRNA from 1 species